GAUGAACGCUGGCGGCGUGCCUAAUACAUGCAAGUCGAGCGAACAGACGAGGAGCUUGCUCCUCUGACGUUAGCGGCGGACGGGUGAGUAACACGUGGAUAACCUACCUAUAAGACUGGGAUAACUUCGGGAAACCGGAGCUAAUACCGGAUAAUAUAUUGAACCGCAUGGUUCAAUAGUGAAAGACGGUUUUGCUGUCACUUAUAGAUGGAUCCGCGCCGCAUUAGCUAGUUGGUAAGGUAACGGCUUACCAAGGCAACGAUGCGUAGCCGACCUGAGAGGGUGAUCGGCCACACUGGAACUGAGACACGGUCCAGACUCCUAAGGGAGGCAGCAGUAGGGAAUCUUCCGCAAUGGGCGAAAGCCUGACGGAGCAACGCCGCGUGAGUGAUGAAGGUCUUCGGAUCGAAAAACUCUGUUAUUAGGGAAGAACAAAUGUGUAAGUAACUAUGCACGUCUUGACGGUACCUAAUCAGAAAGCCACGGCUAACUACGUG
rnacentral:rRNA from 1 species